AGAGUUUGAUCAUGGCUCAGGACGAACGCUGGCGGCGUGCCUAAAACAUGCAAGUCGAACGGGAUAGCAAUAUCUAGUGGCGAACGGCGGAGUAAUACGUGAACAACGUGCCUUGAAGACUGGGAUAGCCAGGGGAAACCCUGAGUAAUACCGGAUGUGGCAACGAGAUGGCAUCUUCUCGUUACUAAAUGGUUUUUCGCUUCAAGAGCGGUUCACGACCUAUCAGCUAGUUGGUGAGGUAACGGCUCACCAAGGCGACGACGGGUAGGGGGUCUGAGAGGAUGAUCCCCCCGAGUGGGACUGAGACACGGCCCACACACCUACGGGUGGCAGCAGUUGGGAAUCUUGCACAAUGGGGGAAACCCUGAUGCAGCGACGCCGCGUGGAGGACGAAGGGUCUAGGCUCGUAAACUCCUUUUUUUGGGAAAGACUUAGGACGGUACCCAAAGAAUAAGCACCGGCUAACUACGUGCCAGCAGCCGCGGUAAGACGUAGGGUGCAAGCGUUGUCCGGAUUUACUGGGCGUAAAGAGCGCGUAGGCGGUCCAUUAAGUGUGAAGCUAAAUCUCUUGGCUUAACCAAGAAACUAUUUCGCAUACUGAUGGGCUGGAGUGAUGCAGAGGUGGAUAGAAUUCCCGGUGUAGCGGUGAAAUGCGUUGAUAUCGGGAGGAAUACCCGUGGCGAAGGCGGUCCACUGGGCAUCAACUGACGCUGAGGCGCGAAAGCGUGGGUAGCAAACAGGAUUAGAUACCCUAGUAGUCC
rnacentral:rRNA from 1 species